GGGUCAGUAGGUUGGUCGUGCCACCGGUACGUACUGGUCUCGCUGAUUCCUCCUUCCUGAAGAACCGUAAUGCCAUUAAUUUGGUGCUGCGGGGAAACAGGACUGUUACUUUGAAAAAAUUAGAGUGUUUAAAGCAAGCUAACGCUUGAAUACAUUAGCAUGGAAUAAUGAAAUAGGACGAUCGAUCCUAUUUUGUUGGUUUCUAGGAUUGACGUA
rnacentral:rRNA from 1 species